AUGCACACCCAAGGAUCAACACUGGUGCCAUCACCACUAAGUCUCCUCAAGUCAGCCAUGAAAACCUCACCUGAGGCAGCCCCCACCUUAAACAAUGCCGACAGUGAGUCUGAUGCAGCAACAUCUGCAAAGCAAUCCUCCUUCUCCCUCACCUCCCACACCGGCACCGUCGAGCUUGCCCGGACGUCCCACAGGCGUAUGUCACCCACCAUUCCAGCCGGCCCGGAGUGUGAUCCGGCCGCAAGCAAGAGAUUGUGCCCAGCAAGCCAACUGAGCUUGGUCGGUGGUAUUGCUGCCUCGACGUCCGCACCGAACACCUCCUUCCUCCCGAUUUCCAGCACAGGUGACAGAGAAUUCAGAUCGAACGCCACCACGGCGCUCGAAUUCCGUCGCGCGGACUCGAAGCUGGCAAAUAGCCACUGUGACGCCGUUUCUGAGGCCGCUGUGGCGGCCAUAGACAGCACAGAAGAAGAAGGCGAGUCUGGCCAAUAUAGAGCCUCCGAAGCCGUGGCAGGGGCGUCGCCCGGGAACCUGCAGAGCUGGACGCCAGGAAAGUCGCGGGCGCCAGCGAGGGCGAGGGCGGGGGACACCGCGACGAGCGAGUCGAUGGUGGGGAGCGGCGUCAGGACGCUGGUGCGGGAGGCGAGCACGGCGUCAAAGCUGGUGACGACCCCGCCGUGCGCGGCGACGAGGGAGGCCGCGUGCGGGGAGGGGGAUAUGGCCACGGCGGAGGGAGCGACGCGGCCGGUGAGGGGAAGGAGGGCGGUGGGGCGCAGAGAGAGGGGGGAGAAGGUGGACGCCGGGGAGAGGGAGGCGAGGAGGAGGCCGUCGAGUGAGAAGUGCCGAGCCUCGGCGAGGAGAGCGGCGGAGGGAGGAGGAGACGCGAGGCGGCCACUGCGGAGGAAGGAGAGGAUGCCGGCGAACAGGCGAGGGUCGCGGUCGAGGAAGUGUGGCGCGUCGGCGGGUGAGGGGCCAAGGGAGGCGAGAGGGGAGGAAGCGCCUGCGCGGGAGAGGGUGGCUGCGGUGGUCUGGAAGAGCUCGCCGCCGACGUUGAGGGUGACGACGGAGGUGGACGCCAUGGAUGGGGAUGGGGAAUUCUCGGUGGAAGCCAUGGGCGUUGACUAG
rnacentral:rRNA from 1 species